rnacentral:rRNA from 1 species
ACUGCUCAGUAACACGUGGACAACCUGCCCUUAGGUUGGGUAUAAACCCGGGAAACUGGGUAUAAUACCCGAUAGGUCUCGAUUGCUGGAAUGCAUCGAGAUUUAAAGCUCCGGCGCCUAAGGAUGGGUCUGCGGCCUAUCAGGUAGUAGUGGGUGUAGCGUACCUACUAGCCUACGACGGGUACGGGUUGUGAGAGCAAGAGCCCGGAGAUGGAUUCUGAGACACGAAUCCAGGCCCUACGGGGUGCAGCAGGCGCGAAAACUUUACAAUGCUGGCAACAGCGAUAAGGGAACCUCGAGUGCCAGGUCACAAAUCUGGCUGUCGAGAUGCCUAAAAAGCAUUUCAUAGCAAGGGCCGGGCAAGACCGGUGCCAGCCGCCGCGGUAACACCGGCGGCUCGAGUGGUAACCGUUAUUAUUGGGUCUAAAGGGUCUGUAGCCGGCCGGAUAAGUCUCUUGAGAAAUCUGGCAGCUUAACUGUCAGGCUUUCAGGAGAUACUGUCUGGCUCGAGGCCGGGAGAGGUGAGAGGUACUUCAGGGGUAGGGGUGAAAUCUUGUAAUCCUUGAAGGACCACCAGUGGCGAAGGCGUCUCACCAGAACGGACCUGACGGCAAGGGACGAAAGCUAGGGGCACGAACCGGAUUAGAUACCCGGGUAGUCCUAGCCGUAAACGAUACUCGCUAGGUGUCGGCCACGGUGCGACCGUUGUCGGUGCCGUAGGGAAGCCGUGAAGCGAGCCACCUGGGAAGUACGGCCGCAAGGCUGAAACUUAAAGGAAUUGGCGGGGGAGCAC